rnacentral:tRNA from 1 species
GGAGAGAUGGCAGAGUGGUCGAUUGCGGCAGUCUUGAAAACUGUUGAGCCGCAAGGCUCCGGGGGUUCGAAUCCCUCUCUCUCCG